CUUAACAAAAACAUUAGAAUUCACAGUUUAAAAACAGUCAUCACAAACAGGUAUUAUACACUAUUAAACUACUUCACACAAAUCAUGUGAAAAUAUUAUUGAUGUCACAAAUCAAUACUAUAAGAAAGGGAACCGUCUCAACAAACCUUGCUCGCCGCUUCCAAAGCGAUGAAACGCAUCGUAACAUGACAACGAACAGUGCAGUAAUGCUGUCAAAGUGAUAUUAUGUCCUUAUUCUACAUUCGAAUCACACAACCAGCUGAAAGCCGCAAGACAGAUCGGCCAUAGUCGGCGUACUGAUUCGAUGAAACGCAUAUCGAAUUGCUACAGAAUAGAUAGAGAUCUAAAGUUCUCACUCAGAAAAGAACGCUCUUAUCCCGGUAACGCGACAGUGACAGAACAACCAGCUAAUUAUGAAUCCAUGAGCCAAAAUAUUAACGUAUAAAUUAUAAAAUAUAGCACGGGAUAAUGCCACAAAGUGAUCAAAUGAACAACUAAUUACCUGACUUACAAGAUUACUCGUGCAAUACUUGGUGCCAUUUGUUAUACGGUCGCGUGAGUUCGCUUUGUAAUAACUUCGUGUUAAUGUGGCUCGAUACUUUUACAAGCUUUUCUAAUAAUGACAAGAUUCUUUUACAUUGAUCUUUUAUAGCUUCUAGAAGUGAUGAGUAUGUUUUGACCUCAAAUAAAGCCCCUCCCCGCGUUA